AAACUCUUUUGAUUGGCAUCCUCAAAGUCAGAGCUUCGAAAUAAUGGUCUUCCAUGCUGCUUGUUGAAAACAAUAACCAGUGCAGAUGGUGUUCACUUGAAUCAAGGUCUUUUGUCCUUAAAUCCUCUAUUAGAAAACUACCUUUUGGACAGGAGAGAAGCGUUUUCUUCCGUCCAUUUAACAGAGAUUAGAGAUCAUUUCCUUCAUGGCUGAGCUCACCCAGCAGAUGAAGAACGGCUUCUUCCCCAUGGUUGAAGGCAUCAAAUGUGGCAACAAUGGCAAGCAUCAAGAUAAAGGCUCUGAAGAUAGAGGUAAAGCCAAGUUGAGAACAGUGCAGGAUAGAGGGAUCCAAGUAGCAGCGCUGUGUGGCCCAAACCCCCCAGCACCAAACAAAUCACCUCCUCCACAGCAUAAUUGAGAUAGAAGCAUAGGUCAUGUCAAUUGCUGCUUCCUCCUGAUCUUCUACUGCGGUCUCUAGUUGUUUCUUUUGCCAGGAUAUAACCUAGUGCGAAGCCUUCCUACUGCAGUGUUUAUCUGUUAAAUAAUAAUCUAUGUUUUAGAUAUUUGGUGGAGGAGUAUCUCAUAUCUGAAUUUUGGUUGCGUCGUAUGUUGAAGUGGUCAUCUAGUAGUUUUUAAUACGGAAUGUAAUAAGCGGUCUAUUGAUGUUAAAAACCAUGCACCAGAGAUAAUUUAAGCAGAAAGAUGGAAAAUAUCUAGGCGGUUGUAUUCUCUUA